CUUCAGCUCAAAUCUGGUCGCCACUCAGUGACCUUCAUCCUCUUCCACCUCGCUCAUCUUCCCCUUCAUGGCUAAAGGCGUCACUGUAGCUGGGAGAGCGCGACAUACUGAACGCGAGAAAUCAGAGAAUGGCAGAAGACAGACUGUCCCAUCGAGUAUCCAGGGGACACAGGCUGUCAUGUCACACUCUGCUCCCGUCGCAAACACACAGCAGGGAGGUAAAUUAACACGACCAUCGGCCAAAUGCUUCGCCUCCUCUACCAGCCAACCUGGCAGCUCAUCAACCAUUACUUGGACAAUUCUUUAUAUUAAAAACUCUGGAUGCCAAACCUU